rnacentral:rRNA from 1 species
GUGGUAAUGCCGGAUGUUCCAGUUGAUCGCAUGGUCUUCUGGGAAAGCUUUCGCGGUAUGGGAUGGGGUCGCGUCCUAUCAGCUUGACGGCGGGGUAACGGCCCACCGUGGCUUCGACGGGUAGCCGGCCUGAGAGGGCGACCGGCCACAUUGGGACUGAGAUACGGCCCAGACUCCUACGGGAGGCAGCAGUGGGGAAUAUUGCACAAUGGGCGCAAGCCUGAUGCAGCGACGCCGCGUGAGGGAUGGAGGCCUUCGGGUUGUAAACCUCUUUUAUCGGGGAGCAAGCGUGAGUGAGUUUACCCGUUGAAUAAGCACCGGCUAACUACGUGCCAGCAGCCGCGGUAAUACGUAGGGUGCAAGCGUUAUCCGGAAUUAUUGGGCGUAAAGGGCUCGUAGGCGGUUCGUCGCGUCCGGUGUGAAAGUCCAUCGCUUAACGGUGGAUCCGCGCCGGGUACGGGCGGGCUUGAGUGCGGUAGGGGAGACUGGAAUUCCCGGUGUAACGGUGGAAUGUGUAGAUAUCGGAAAAAAAACACCA